GAUGAACGCUGGCGGCGUGCCUAAUACAUGCAAGUCGAGCGAACGGACGAGAAGCUUGCUUUUCUGAUGUUAGCGGCGGACGGGUGAGUAACACGUGGAUAACCUACCUAUAAGACUGGGAUAACUUCGGGAAACCGGAGCUAAUACCGGAUAAUAUUUUGAACCGCAUGGUUCAAAAGUGGAAGACGGUCUUGCUGUCACUUAUAGAUGGAUCCGCGCUGCAUUAGCUAGUUGGUAAGGUAACGGCUUACCAAGGCAACGAUGCAUAGCCGACCUGAGAGGGUGAUCGGCCACACUGGAACUGAGACACGGCCCAGACUCCUACGGGAGGCAGCAGUAGGGAAUCUUCCGCAAAGGGCGAAAGCCUGACGGAGCAACGCCGCGUGAGUGAUGAAGGUCUUCGGAUCGUAAAACUCUGUUAUUAGGGAAGAACAUAUGUGUAAGUAACUGUGCACAUCUUGACGGUACCUAAUCAGAAAGCCACGGCUAACUACGUG
rnacentral:rRNA from 1 species